GGGGAUGUUUGGUUUCGACAGGUUUAGAUUGAAUUUCAAUCGCAAUGGAGUGGUUACCUAAUAACCGAAAAAAAAUAAUCGGAAAUCAACAAUUUUCGUACGCUGCUUAAUUAGUCGAAGAUAGACUUGCAGUUCCUCUAAUUAAAUAACCUAGUUUAAUUAGUUGUAGUAUUUAGGAGUAGAUGAAAUAAUUAAGUCCAUAAUUAUAAUUCGAAAAGUAAACGGACAAAUUUGAUAUAGAGUUGUUUGAGCUAGUGUAUCAUCUUAUUUAAUUCAAACUAAAUUGUAGAAGUUGAAAUAUGGAUCACUCUUGGACACGGGUUCGAGUCCCGUCAUCUCCACCA
rnacentral:tmRNA from 1 species